rnacentral:rRNA from 12 species
UACAGCAGCAAAGCGCAGCACAAUAGACAAAUAGUCUGGUUAGUACUUGGAUGGGAGACUAACUUGUAAGACCAGGGGCCGCUAUAG